rnacentral:miRNA from 1 species
UCCUCUUUCUUUGCUUCCUUCU